AGAUUGAAUGUGUUUAUCUGGAUUAAUAUUUUGUUCGUUUAAACUAAAAACUUGAUUCAAUCAAGGCUUUGAGUUCUGAAUUUUUUUUAUCAACCCGCUAGACUAGAUUAUAUUUUGAAUAAUCAAUUGAAUCACUAAAAACUCGAUCAAAUCAAAGAUGUAUGACAAAGUCUAUAUCUUAUCUAGUUCAAUUAAAAACUCAAUCUAAAUCAAACUAUACUAAUAUAAAAAGUUGUAUUACUCCCUUGUUUUAUAUGAUAUGUUAAAUUUAUCUUAUAAUGAAUAAAGAAUUUAAUUUAAUUUUCUAAUGAAUAA
rnacentral:lncRNA from 1 species